rnacentral:rRNA from 1 species
AGAUUGAACGCUGGCGGCAGGCCUAACACAUGCAAGUCGAGCGGUAGAGAGGUGCUUGCACCUCUUGAGAGCGGCGGACGGGUGAGUAAUGCCUAGGAAUCUGCCUAGUGGUGGGGGAUAACGUUCGGAAACGGACGCUAAUACCGCAUACGUCCUACGGGAGAAAGCGGGGGACCUUCGGGCCUCGCGCCAUUAGAUGAGCCUAGGUCGGAUUAGCUAGUUGGUGAGGUAAUGGCUCACCAAGGCGACGAUCCGUAACUGGUCUGAGAGGAUGAUCAGUCACACUGGAACUGAGACACGGUCCAGACUCCUACGGGAGGCAGCAGUGGGGAAUAUUGGACAAUGGGCGAAAGCCUGAUCCAGCCAUGCCGCGUGUGUGAAGAAGGUCUUCGGAUUGUAAAGCACUUUAAGUGGAGGAAGGUUGUAACUUAAUACGUUGCAACUUUGACGUUACCGACAGAAUAAGCACCGGCUAACUUCGUGCCAGCAGCCG